rnacentral:sRNA from 1 species
CUUUUGCCCGCAGGGAGGCGGGCAAAAGGCAUGGCUGGCACAGGACGGUUCCGCCUGUGCCGGUAGGUCAGGCAAACAUAACCU